rnacentral:rRNA from 1 species
GAUGAACGCUGGCGGCGUGCCUAAUACAUGCAAGUAGAACGCUGAAGGAGGAGCUUGCUCUUCUGGAUGAGUUGCGAACGGGUGAGUAACGCGUAGGUAACCUGCCUGGUAGCGGGGGAUAACUAUUGGAAACGAUAGCUAAUACCGCAUGACAACAGUUAUUGCAUGAUAACUGUUUAAAAGGGGCAACUGCUCCACUACCAGAUGGACCUGCGUUGUAUUAGCUAGUUGGUGAGGUAACGGCUCACCAAGGCGACGAUACAUAGCCGACCUGAGAGGGUGAUCGGCCAAACUGGGACUGGGACACGGCCCAGACUCCUACGGGAGGCAGCAGGAGGGGAUCUUCGGCAAUGGACGGAAGUCUGACCGAGCAACGCCGCGUGAGGGAAGAAGGUUUUCGGAUCGUAAAGCUCUGUUGUAAGAGAAGAACGAGUGUGAGAGUGGAAAGUUCACACUGUGACGGUAUCUGACCAGAAAGGGACGGCUAACUACGUG